rnacentral:misc_RNA from 1 species
GAUGAAGAACGUAGCGAAAUGCGAUAAGUAAUGUGAAUUGCAGAAUUCAGUGAAUCAUCGAAUCUUUGAACGCGCAUUGCGCCCGCCAGUAUUCUGGCGGGCAUGCCUGUUCGAGCGUCAUUUCAACCAUCAAGCCCCCGGCUUGUGUUGGGGACCUGCGGCUGCCGCAGGCCCUGAAAACCAGUGGCGGGCUCGCUAGUCACUCCGAGCGUAGUAAUACAUCUCGCUCAGGGCGUGCUGCGGGUUCCGGCCGUUAAAAAGCCUUAUUUACCCAAGGUUGACCUCGGAUCAGGUAGGAAGACCCGCUGAACUUAAGCAUAUCAAUAAGCGGAGGA